CAUACAUUCUGCGGGAGCUCGGGUAAACCGGGCUGAGAGGAUGGUUAGUUGUCACCGUCGACCGCUUAACCUGAACUGGGUAAUGCCAGCGGAGGGAACAUCUAAGAAUUUUUU
rnacentral:ncRNA from 1 species